AAUCGCCGUACUCUCAUCUCGCUAAUGCAAAGGGACAGAGGAUUUCCCCCUGCGCUGGGAGAACUCACGGCUUUUUUUUUUCCUCCCUUUAAAUAGCUUGCUAACAUUUGCAUAACACUGCUAACAGGCAAAUUACUCAAAACAACUUUGGCUCAUGCAAAUAAGCCGAGAAUUCAUUUCACUGGGAGGAAAACAAAAUGCACCACCACCCCGGAGCCUGCCUUCUCCCGGCCGCGGUCCCCGAAGUUGCCGGCUCCCCGCCCGCCCCCGCGGCCACGCCGGAGCCAGUGCUCGCCGGGGGCGGCUCCGCAUUCCCCGCCUUUACUCUCGCUGCAGCCGGUGGCUGUUUUUGCAAGCACCGACAUCGCUGUCCGCGUCCGGAGAACACCGAACUCCGACGCGGCCCGGCGGGAGGCAGCGGGCACGGUGUCACUGGCCCACGCCCGGGCCCACGGGUGCCCGCGGAGGCAGCGCGCAGCGGGGGGAGCCCUCGCGCGCUUGGGGAAGCCUGCAGAAGCAGCGAGUAGAGACAGAAGUGUCUUUGAAUGAUGUGAGUCUCCUGUAUGCAAAUUGGCUGAAGAAGAUGCGCUAAAGCAGAGUGGAUUUCACACUUAGAAAUUUCACACCUAAACUGUGGACAUUAUAGAGGCUUCACAGAAGCAAGCUUCCAGUACGGCAGAUGAAAGCUGUCCAAAGUAAAAGUCUUUGCUUCCAGCCACAGUGAUUUAGUGAUGGCUGCAGGAUUUCCACAUUAAUAUGACUUUACUUGACUAAACAAGCAUGUGUUCGCCCUGAUUCAUACUGGAAGGUCAACUCCUUUCCGAUCCUUUUACUGCCCUGUGUUGAUCUUCAUAUGAGAAGCAGAACUGGGCUGUGGGAAAAGGUCAGCCCCUGCUUAAAAAACUCAGGUUGAGAGAGCCGAGGUUUUCCCCUUCAUCCCGACUGUCUGGGAAUGCAGAACUGCAGCAUAUCCUGACUGUAUUUCAGUCCCCAGGUUAUACAAACCCAACGUAUGACAAGGCAGUCUGUGUGCUUGAACCGCCCCUCACCCUGGCUCCUCGCUCCACUGAAUCCUCCUGCAAGAAAGCCCUUUUUUGGUAACACUCACCUCACAGGAACAGACUUCUUGGCUCACAAGAGCAGUCUUUAUAGUGGGUGUAAAUAAUAAUCACCGUAGAUACAAUCUAGCCUCAGAAAACCAUUUACAGGUGCUGUCAACUCCCUUUAUAGUUUGUGAAUAGAAAAAGAGCAGAGAUUAGCAUCUGUGACCCGACCAAACUGCCUUUACUUUUACUUACAGGAUACACAGUUGCGGAAAUAUGUUUAUUUUUCCAUAAUGAUUAAACUUUGAUUUAAACUUUGGUCAUGGGCACGUACUGUACCAUUACGCAAGCAGCGCUUAAGGAUGAAGUGUCAUCAUAGCAACAAUAUGGCCAGCAGCGGUGGUGAUCUCUGCAAAGCUGAUUGAUGAAGAGAACUGCAAUGUAAAUGCAAAUAAAUGCCAUGCAGUGGCAGCUUCACAGG